rnacentral:rRNA from 1 species
AGAACGAACGCUGGCGGCGUGGAUAAGACAUGCAAGUCGAACGCGACUUAUCUGAUUAGCAAUAAUGAGGUAAGUUGAGUGGCGAAAGGGUGCGUAACACGUGGGAAUUUACCAAAAAGUGGGGAAUAGCUCGGCGAAAGCCGAAUUAAUACCGCAUGUGGUCGAAAGACCAAAGCCGGGGACCGCAAGGCCUGGCGCUUUUUGAGAAGCCCGCGGCCCAUCAGCUAGUUGGCGAGGUAAAAGCUCACCAAGGCUAUGACGGGUAGCUGGUCUGAGAGGACGACCAGCCACACUGGAACUGAGACACGGUCCAGACACCUACGGGUGGCAGCAGUCGAGAAUUUUUCACAAUGGACGAAAGUCUGAUGGAGCGACGCCGCGUGGAGGAUGAAGGUUUUCGGAUUGUAAACUCCUGUCACUGCAGAACAAGGCUAUGCGAUUGAACAUUUCGUGUAGUU